AUUGAACGCUGGCGGCAGGCCCAACACAUGCAAGUCGAAUGGUAACAGGAAACAGCUUGCUGUUUCGCUGACGAGUGGCGGACGGGUGAGUAAUGUCUGGGAAACUGCCUGAUGGAGGGGGAUAACUACUGGAAACGGUAGCUAAUACCGCAUAACGUCGCAAGACCAAAGAGGGGGACCUUCGGGCCUCUUGCCAUCAGAUGUGACCAGAUGGGAUUAGCUAGUAGGUGGGGUAACGGCUCACCUAGGCAACGAUCCCUAGCUGGUCUGAGAGGAUGACCAGCCACACUGGAACUGAGACACGGUCCAGACUCCUACGGGAGGCAGCAGUAGGGAAUAUUGCACAAUGGGCGCAAGCCUGAUGCAGCCAUGCCGCGUGUAUGAAGAAGGCCUUCGGGUUGUAAAGUACUUUCAGCGGGGAGGAAGGGAGUAAAGUUAAUACCUUUGCUCAUUGACGUUACCCGCAGAAGAAGCACCGGCUAACUCCGUG
rnacentral:rRNA from 1 species